CUCCUACGGGAGGCAGCAGUGGGGAAUCUUGCGCAAUGCGCGAAAGCGUGACGCAGCAACGCCGCGUGGGGGAAGAAGGCUUUCGGGUUGUAAACCCCUUUCAGUUGGGACGAAGCUUCAGCGGUGAACAGCCGUAUGGAGUGACGGUACCUUCACAAGAAGCACCGGCUAACUACGUGCCAGCAGCCGCGGUAAUAC
rnacentral:rRNA from 1 species